GACGAACGCUGGCGGCGUGCUUAACACAUGCAAGUCGAACGGUAAGGCCCUUCGGGGUACACGAGUGGCGAACGGGUGAGUAACACGGGGGUGAUCUGCCCUGCACUUCGGGAUAAGCCUGGGAAACUGGGUCUAAUACCGGAUAGGACUCCGGACUGCAUGGGCGGGGGUGGAAAGCUUUUGCGGUGUGGGAUGGGCCCGCGGACUAUCAGCUUGGUGGGGGGGUGAUGGCCUACCAAGGCGACGACGGGUAGCCGGCCUGAGAGGGUGACCGGCCACACUGGGACUGAGAUACGGCCCAGACUCCUACGGGAGGCAGCAGUGGGGAAUAUUGCACAAUGGGCGCAAGCCUGAUGCAGCGACGCCGCGUGAGGGAUGACGGCCUUCGGGUUGUAAACCUCUUUCAGCAUCGACGAAGCGAAAGUGACGGUAGGUGCAGAAGAAGGACCGGCCAACUACGUGCCAGCCGCCGCCGUAA
rnacentral:rRNA from 1 species